CCGCGAGGUAGAGCAAAUCUCAAAAAAACAAUCUCAGUUCAGACUGCAGGCUGCAACUCGCCUGCACGAAGUCGGAAUUGCUAGUAAUCGUAGGUCAGCAUACUACGGUGAAUACGUUCCCGGGCCUUGUACACACCGCCCGUCAAACCAUGAGAGUUGGCAACACCCGAAGUCGGUAGUCUAACCGCAAGGAGGACGCCGCCGAAGGUGGGGUUGAUGAUUAGGGUUAAGUCGUAACAAGGUACC
rnacentral:rRNA from 1 species